ensembl:lncRNA
CUUUAUUCAAGAUUCAAACAUUUUUGAGGGCCCCUCUACACAUUAGGGCCCUAUAUACUUAGUACCCCUUUUCCCCCCAGUCCAACGCCCCUGGUUGUACCCAUUGUUGACAUAGCUCCCAUCUUAGUUUACUGGGCCAAAGUUGGUUUAAAAUGUACUGCUUGCAUUUUGUUUCCAUCCAACGUUAAUCCUGCAAUGAUGAGCAAUGUUUCAUAUCCCCAUUAACAUGUACAUUUCCACCAGUGUGUUUGUAUCCUGACAGCAGCGCACUGAAUUAAUGAAAUUGACGCCUAAAAACACCGCUGUUCAAUUUUUCUCUCGUGACAGACAAAGAAAACAUUGACCCUGCGUCUAUAAAUGUUUAAUAAAGACCGCAAACGUUUGAAGGGACUGGAUUUGGCUCGUUAAGCCAUACAUAUCACACCCCACAACCAGGGCUUCCUUAAGUCGAAUAACAAAAUGUAAAGCCGGGGAAAUGAUGCUACUGGCCAAAUUGUCCGGAAGAAAAAAAUCAACAAAAGAUGCGCAUAGCAAGCUGCUGCGAAGUCCCUUUUGAUGCAACAGUAGUAGCUCACUUCGAGCGUGGCUAAAUCUUUUGCGUUCUUGUGCCGCUGAUAUGCCAAACAACCCAAUGCAAUUAAUACGCGCCCCAAGAAAACGGCACUCAUCGUUUAGCGCGCGUAAAACCAGUCGCGUUAAAUGUCCGCCAGCAAAACAAUUUGGCCUAACCAAAAAACCUCUUGAGCUAGAGCCCAAAAGCACAGUUAAUAGUACAAACGUCUGGGAAAAGGCUGCGAGUCACAUUGUCCAGCGAGAAAUGGAUGCCCUGAGAACAACAAUUACAAUUCCUCAGUUGACCCAGACACAUUCUGUACCAACCCAACAGCAAAUCAUUACAAAAACAUCUGAACUGUAAAUGUCACAAUAAUGCAUCUUUUAUUACUAAAACAUGUAUACUGCAUAUACAUUUAUAUAAAUGUUCAGAUAUUGGGCUAGAUUUAUUUCCCCUCAAAAUGUAUUCAAACAUAUUAAACUAAAA